ACUCAAAGGAAUUGACGGGGGCCCGCACAAGCGGUGGAGCAUGUGGUUUAAUUCGAUGCAACGCGAAGAACCUUACCUACUCUUGACAUCCUAAGAAUCUGACUGAGAAGUUGGAGUGCCGAAAGGAGCUUAGAGACAGGUGCUGCAUGGCUGUCGUCAGCUCGUGUUGUGAGAUGUUGGGUUAAGUCCCGUAACGAGCGCAACCCUUACCCUUAGUUGCCAGCAUUAAGUUGGGGACUCUAAGGGGACUGCCGGUGAUGAACCGGAGGAAGGCGGGGACGAAGUCAAGUCAUCAUGGCCUUUAUGAGUAGGGCGACACACGUGCUACAAUGGGACGUACAGAGGGUAGCGAAGCUGCGAAGCGGAGCCAAUCUCAGAAAGCGUCUCGUAGUCCGGAUUGGAGUCUGCAACUCGACUCCAUGAAGUCGGAAUCGCUAGUAAUCGCGAAUCAGCCAUGUCGCGGUGAAUACGUUCCCGGGCCUUGUACACACCGCCCGU
rnacentral:rRNA from 1 species